rnacentral:rRNA from 1 species
UUUACCUACGGGAGGCAGCAGUGGGGAAUAUUGCACAAUGGGCGAAAGCCUGACGCAGCAACGCCGCGUGAAGGAAGAAGGGUUUCGGCUCGUAAACUUCUAUUAACAGGGACGAAAGAAAUGACGGUACCUGAAUAAGAAGCCCCGGCUAACUACGUGCCAGCAGCCGCGGUAAUACGUAGGGGGCAAGCGGUAUCCGGAAUUACUGGGUGUAAAGGGUGGGUAGGCGGCAUGGUAAGCCAGAUGUGAAAGCCUUGGGCUUAACCCGAGGGAUGCAUUUGGAA